UUCAUUUAUUGGCCUGGGAUAAAGCCAUCCUUCCUUGCUCAAGAUUAUGAGUCGUGCCUUGUCGCUCACAUAAACAACCUUCCCUAUCAAGAAGGCAUUCCGCUUACUUCAAACCGCGAAGAAAGCACUACAGAAAUUGCAACAUCAAGUUCUGGAAGCUACUACCAGACAGGAAAAUCUUCAUCAUUAUGACACCAAACGAUAACACGGGUACUAGUUUUCAGAGAACUCCUCGACAAGUUAUGCAACCCGAUAAUAUUUCAGACGACGAGUCAUCAGCCAACGCCCCACAAGAUUAAACCUCUGAACAAAGGAAUCAACGAAGAGCACGUAAUGCUGUCCGAGCAGAUCAUCGCCGACUACUAGCUACAAACAUCCCCAUCAUGAACCUCGAAAGGGCAUUCAACGCAGUGCAAGCUUGAGAACGCAAUACACCACUCACAGCAAUUGCCUCAAUCAAUCUUAUAUCAACU
rnacentral:lncRNA from 1 species